rnacentral:lncRNA from 1 species
GAUUUUUUUUAUUAAUAGUAACGAGUAUCGUCAAGACUAAUGCACAGCCAUGCCAAGCCUAUAAUAUUCUAAUAGAUCCUUAACAAGCUCUGAAUCUGAAUCCAGAUGUUCCUAUCCAUAUUGUUGCAUGGCAAAGUUGCUGCAUAUAUUAACCUUACAGGCAUGACACGAUCUCACAAAUUGCCGCUCGGAAGCUUUCUUAAACGCACCAGCUUGGGACACAGGCGCCAGCACUCUUGCUGAUCACUGAAGCACGGCGAGUCAUCAGGAGGGAGCAACAUGCAGCAAUAACAAGUCUUGGUGGGACCGGUGCACUGAGACUUCACACACAAUAUGACGUGUAUCUCGCUGCUCCCGACCAUCUUCUCUCCUUCCGGCGAUCGCCGCCGGAGACUGCCAGCCGGUAUAUUCACCACGUCGCCACCCUCGUCAUCGCCUGCAUGCAAUCGUUACACUUCAUCUCAUCACAGUUUUCCUCAAAAUUAAAGUACCAGUCGAGUGAUGGGUUGAGAACGCGCGUACUACAGUUUGCAGCGGACACGAGGCAUGUCAACAGAACGGCGAGGAGAACCAGCGUCGGCCUCAUGGCGUUCGUCUCCCCCAAUGUAUGAGAAGCAAUUUGUCCAUGAAUAUAAUCG